GGAUUCAAUCCCUAUUCUGGGAAUUUCCAUAGGCUGCUAGUGCAGCCAAAAGAAAAGAAAAGAAAACUAAUUCCAAGUGUGAUCUAUAUAUUCCGGAUCUAUUUAUGACUUUUGAAUGAUACCAUGAGAAUCAAUGACAAAUGACCUGGUUUCUUCUCCAACAUAGCAGCGUGUAAAGAAAAUGGAAGGAAGUGGAGGAGGGUAGGAUGUAGAGAUUAAAAGAGACUUCAGAGACAUCUCAGCCAAUCUCAAGCCUCCAGACCGUGAGACAAUAUGUUUCUGUGCCGAGUUGCCCAUUCUGGAGUCCUUCGUCCUGACAGCCCCAGCAGAUGAAGACGGAGACCACAGCGGUGCUGGGAAAGCUGUCCUUUGUACUGGGGAUGAUGCAUCAAGCUCACCGCACCCUCCUGGCCAGUGGCCCACAUGGUCCUCACCCAGGGGUCAGAUCAAGAAGUGUCCUCACACAGCCUCUCACCUACACCUGGGGAUGGGUGUGUUUAGACUUCAGAAUUCCUCCCAUCUUAGAAAGAACACACACGUGUGUGCCAUGUGUUACCUGACACACCCAGUGUGUCUGAGGCUGCACCUUAAACACACGAACAAAACAUGCUUCUGUCGACUGAUAUCUCAAUAUGGACUAAGAGAGAUAAAUAAAAAAUAGAUCUAA